rfam:TPA: Bos taurus chromosome 18, whole genome shotgun sequence.
UGGCUCAGAUGGUAAAGCAUCUGCCUACAAUGCAGGAGACCUGGGUUCAAUCCCUG